GCUGGAAAAGCUCAGUUGGGAGAGCGUUAGACUGAAGUUGUUUACGCAACAGUUAUCUAAAGGCCUCCGGUUCAGUCCCGGGUUCCGGCA
rnacentral:tRNA from 1 species